GCUGCCACUGGAGCCUGAUGACAGAAUGAAAUAUGUGGAACUGACCUGGCCUUUGCUCCCAGCCAAGAACAUUGCAGCUGCUUUGAAACCUGCAGAAAUAGAGACUUUGGUUUAUUUGCCACUGAGUUUUGAAGAGGAGGAAUUGUGCAGCAUGAUUGCCUGGAAAACUGAUGGAUACAAAGUACACACUGAAGACAGGUGUGGAAAUCUGAGAAUAGAAGGGAGUGUGUUCCAUCCUGUUUGGUCCUGAGUGGCAGAA
rnacentral:lncRNA from 1 species